rnacentral:lncRNA from 1 species
CCCGGGAGGGUCUCGGUGCCCCGCAGACCUGGCCUCGGGUGGCGGAGCGGCCGUGCCGUGUCCCCGGUGCGAACGGUGCCAGACGGACAGGUAGCUCUGGCAGCCCUUUGACCUCCGCUGGGUUGUAUUUUGAUACAGACACCCGGUAUGUGUCCCCUUAGAAAGCAAGGCAACAUCCCACAGCUUCAUAAAACUUAAUCUGAGCUAUCGUGUGGUCACAGUGAGAUUUGGUUACUUCCUAAUCUGGCAUAAAACUCAUUCACUGAAGGAGAAGAAGGAAUAGCUAGCAUGCCAUCAGAUUGAUUCUACUCCUUCUGAAGCUGAGUCUUCACCUUUGCAAGAAAACAGACUGGCAAUCAACAAUGUGGACAAUGGAAAAAGGGAGGAAUCCUAUUCUGGGAGUUAAAUAAAAAGGGAGCUGUGUUACAGAUGCCAUGUGGAAGAAUUUUCAAAUUUUCGUUCUGGAUUUUUAAUGAGAAAACUUUAACAUAUACAUUUUAACUGUUUCUUCUCCUUGGGAAUGGCUUCAUUCAAAUCCAAUACAGAAACUUGAAUCUCAAAAUUCACCAGCAGAUCAAAACUUGGAGAUGUUUUCUUCCACCUAUCUGGGACAUUUUUGACUGACCUUCCCAUUCUUGAGGUGAAGAUUUUGAUUUGCCCGUGAAUCUCUUCCUGAUCCACCAGUUUUCAGUUGCCCAUAUCUACGUAAAUCAAAUCUGAAUUAUUCCUUUGAUAUUUACUGAGCAAGGCUCAGCUUGCUAGUGGGGCAUGUACGUUCUUGCGCCAGAGACUUGAUGGCAGGCCUGGGGCAUAGGCUAAUGGUCUGUCACUAUGUUACUCAGAUUGUUAUCUUAUGCUGCAAGUCUGUCAAAGUCUGAAAUU